rnacentral:rRNA from 1 species
AUGAACGCUGGCGGCGUGCCUAAUGUAUGCAAGUCAAGGGGUCCGGCGCAAGCCGGAAACCGGCGGACGGGUGAGUAACGCGUGGGAAUCUACCUCAAAGUUGGACAUAGCUAGCCGAAAGGCUAGGUAAUUUCCAAUGUGAUCAGGCUUUGCCUGAUUAAAGAUUUAUCGCUUUGAGAUGAGCCCGCGUCCUAUCAGUUUGUUGGUGGGGUAAUGGCCUACCAAGACGACGACGGGUAGCUGGUCUGAGAGGAUGGUCAGCCACAAUGGGACUGCGACACGGCCCAUACACCUACGGGUGGCGCAGCAGGGAAUUUUCGGCAAUGGGCGAAAGCCUGACCGAGCGACGCCGCGUGGAGGAUUGAAGGCCCUCGGGUUGUAAACUCCUUUUGCUAGGGAAGAUUAUGACGGUACCUAGCGAAUAAGCACCUGCUAAUCACGUGCCAGAAGCCUCGGUAAGACGUGAGGUGCAAGCGUUAUCCGGAUUCAUUGGGCGUAAAGUGUUGCGUAGGCUGAUUUGCGCAUUUUGCUUAAAAUGCCAUGGCUUAACCAUGGUUUUGGGCAAAAUAUGGCAAAUCUAGAAGGAUAGAGAGGGUACUGGAACUCAUCGUGUAGCAGUGAAAUGCGUUGAUAUGAUGAGGAACACCAAGGCGUAGGCAGGUACCUGGCUGUCCCUUGACGCUGAGGCACGAAAGCUUGGGGAGCGAAGUGGAUUAGAGACCCACGUAGUCCAAGCCGUAAACGAUGGAUGCUAGUUAGGCUGAUUUUUUGGCCUGACGUAAGCUAACGCGUUAAGCAUCCCGCCUGGGGAGUACGAACGCAAGUUUAAAACUCAAAGGAAUUGACGGGGAGGCGCACAAGCAGUGGAGCAUGUGGUUUAAUUCGAGACAAAGCGAAAAACCUCACCUGGGUUUGACAUGUAGAUGCUAAUCCCGUGAAAGCGGGACUCCUUCGAGGGUUCUACACAGAUGCUGCAUGGCUGUCGUCAGUUCGUGGCGUGAGCUGUACCCUUAAGUGGGACAACGAACGCAACCUGCACCGUAUGUUAAAUAAUUCAUAUGGAACUGCCCGAGUUAUACUCGGGAGGAAGGCGCAGAUGAUGUCAAGUCCGCACGGCUCUUACACCCAGGGCUACACACAUCCUACAAUGGCGAAUAACAACGAGCUGCAAGUUGGUAACAACAAGCUAAUCUCUAAAAUUUCGCCCCAGUUCAGAUCGGGGGCUGCAACUUGCCCCCGUGAAGUCGGAAUUGCUAGUAAUCGCGAAUCAGCAGGUCGCGGUGAAUACGUUCUCGCCUCUUGUACACACCGCCCGUCAAGGCAGCAAAGUUGGGGGUACCCGAAUGGCCCUACAGGGUCAGAAGGUAAAACCAGCGAUGAAGCUU